ensembl:lncRNA
GCUCCUCGUCCCCCUGCGUUUCUUCCGACAGUUUUACACCACCACCACCACCACUAUCUGUGUGGGUUGGGGAGAGAAUUUUUUUUUUUCCUCCUCUUUCCCUAAAGCGAAGCGUGAUGGCAGCGGGACACGCGCGCACACAUUCCCGAGCCGCACACGCACACGCGCUCCGACCCUCCUUUCCCACCCCUUUUCCUUACAUCCCGGCGGCGAGGGUUUCUCUGGGAGGAAUUCACUCUCCGCCACGAAUCGGGAGACGCUGGGCUCCCGAGGAGCGCACCUCGGGCACUUUCCCCAUUUCCCACGCAGGUGGCAGAACUCAAAGAGGAACAUUCAUUGGUUUCUGGAUUCAGCAGCAGCCUCUACAGUUUCAUUAUUCCUGUUGACAACAGAGAAGUGAAGAUGCCUGGCCUGGGAGCGCUCGUGUAUUGCACCCAAAUUACACAUUCUUGUUCAUAAAGAGUAGAGCAAAGUAUAAAUGUGAAACGUCGUUGCUCAUGUCUCAGGCAACUACUCACAUCUUAAUUGAAAACGAUCCAAUAACAGCAUCCUCUCAGACAAAGCAAUUCCGCCUAUCUCUGCACUCACUGAAGGCUGUCGUGCCGCAUGGGCAGCAGAUGGCCUUGGCCAUCACCACCCCAGAGCACACAGAAGGAUACCCAGUGCCGCUUUGGGUUUCCUUUCCCCUCAGGCCCCUCGAGAUGGUCCCAGUGGUGAUGGCAGAGACAUGCUCCUGAUGUCAGGGUCACACUUGCCACUUUCCCUAUCCUGCUUUCACUGCAUCCCAUACACCUCUGCUUUUGUUCUGCUUGGGAGCUGCAGGUCAGUGACACAGUGUUGGUUGGUCAUUCCUCAUCCCUCAGCUGCCCCUUCAAAAUGCAGUUCAGGCUGCCCAGAGAGCUGUGCCCAUCUCUGAAGGCAUUCAAGGCCAGGUUGAAUGGGGCCCUUGGCAGCCUGUGCUGGUGGAUGGCAGCCAACCCAUGGCAGAGGUUUGGAAUGGGGUGAUUGCUGAGGUCCCAUUCAACCCAACCCAUUCUAUGAGUCUGUGACUGAGCCACCUCACAUCUGGGACCAAAGCUUCAGAGGCAUGAUACUCAAUGGCCACAGAGAUGCAAAGUGUUUGCAGAGCAGCAAAUAAAGUCUUUCCUGAGCCAACUGUUCCACCUGGACCCCACUACAAAUUAUUGUUUUCAAUUACCACCUGUGUACUCCUUCCCAUGCAACUUAUUGAUGUAAAAUUACAACAACACUGGUAUAAAUAAGUUAUGCUGCGGUUGUAAAAUGGAAGAAAUUUUGUUGUAGCAAUUAUGUUCAGCAAGAUGACAAAAUAAAUUUCCAGUGCUGUGCUUGCAGUAACCUGGGGAAUUUAAACCUCAUAAUUUCCAUUCAUUUCAGAUAAUUUGGAGUAAUUUCUAUAUGUAAUAACUUUGUAAUGAAAAACACAGCGGUACUGAAGUGAUUUCAACUCUUUUUUUUUUUUUCCUCCUAUGGUAUACAUGGCACGAAAUAAAUAAUAAAAAUAAUAUUUCCUUUUUGUAUGUGUUCGGUAAUUCUUUCAGCAAAAUCAUAAACUAAUACCAGG